AGGUACAGUCAUCAAGAUCUAGAUGACGAAUUGCAUGUAGGGGGUAAAAAAGUAGGAAGAAGAGAGGAUGAUGACUUCUGCGUUUCUGGCUUGGGAAAGUGGUUAGACUGUGGGCUGGAUGUGUGUGUGAUUGUGUGUGUGUAGCUGAAAAGGCAAUUUAGCUUUGUAACUGUUGAAGUGAAUAUGGACCAUAGACAUAGAUAUCUACUAGGUAGCUGAAUAUGUAGUCUGCAAAUCAGGAGAAAAUUCUAGGUGAAGAUGGCAAUUUAGAAUCAUCAGAGUCUAUAUGAGGCAGGCGGUCCAAGGCUGAUGCCCAAAGAAGCCAUCAAGACCCGUGCUACUUCCAGCUCCUUCUGUCCUCAUAAUCAUAGAUGAUUGCUCCACAUCCAGGGUGGAAUGCAAUUGUAUGAACACAAGGCUCACUACUACAACCUCUACCUCCUGGGCUCAAGCGAUCCUCUCACCACAGCCUCCCGAGUAGCUAGGACGGCAGCACCUAACACCAGUACUCAGUUAAAUUUUUUGCUGAAUAAAUCAAUGAAUGGAGAGGUAAAGAGGAACCAGAAGUUGGGGUUACGGAAGUCACUGAUGGAAGAGUUUCAAGAUAGUAGAAGUGGUCAGCCCUGUUAAGUGACAAGCCAAGGACUGAAGAAAGGCUGGCAGAUUUGGCAAUCAGAUGAAGUGACCUGACCAAAGAGCAGCUUGUGUGAAGUAGUGAGGACAGGCGCUGGUCUGC
rnacentral:lncRNA from 1 species